rnacentral:rRNA from 1 species
UAGGGAAUCUUCCACAAUGGACGAAAGUCUGAUGGAGCAACGCCGCGUGGGUGAAGAAGGGUUUCGGCUCGUAAAACUCUGUUGUUAAAGAAGAACAUAUCUGAGAGUAACUGUUCAGGUAUUGACGGUAUUUAACCAGAAAGCCACGGCUAACUACGUGCUAG